rnacentral:rRNA from 1 species
ACAGGAGAAAGCUUGCUUUCUUGCUGACGAGUGGCGGACGGGUGAGUUAUGCUUGGGAAUCUGGCUUAUGGAGGGGGAUAACGACGGGAAACUGUCGCUAAUACCGCGUAGUGUCGAGAGACGAAAGUGCGGGACUGAGAGGCCGCAUGCCAUAGGAUGAGCCCAAGUGGGAUUAGGUAGUUGGUGGGGUAAAGGCCUACCAAGCCUGCGAUCUCUAGCUGGUCUGAGAGGAUGACCAGCCACACUGGAACUGAGACACGGUCCAGACUCCUACGGGAGGCAGCAGUUGGGAAUAUUGCGCAAUGGGGGGAACCCUGACGCAGCCAUGCCGCGUGAAUUAAGAAGGCCUUCGGGUUGUAAAGUUCUUUCGGUAUUGAGGAAGGUUGAUGUGUUAAUAGCACAUCAAAUUGACGUUAAAUACAGAAGAAGCACCGGCUAACUCCGUGCCAGCAGCCGCGGUAAUACGGAGGGUGCGAGCGUUAAUCGGAAUAACUGGGCGUAAAGGGCACGCAGGCGGUUAUUUAAGUGAGGUGUGAAAGCCCUGGGCUUAACCUAGGAAUUGCAUUUCAGACUGGGUAACUAGAGUACUUUAGGGAGGGGUAGAAUUCCACGUGUAGCGGUGAAAUGCGUAGAGAUGUGGAGGAAUACCGAAGGCGAAGGCAGCCCCUUGGGAAUGUACUGACGCUCAUGUGCGAAAGCGUGGGGAGCAAACAGGAUUAGAUACCCUGGUAGUCCACGCUGUAAACGCUGUCGAUUUGGGGGUUGGGGUUUAACUCUGGCGCCCGUAGCUAACG